rnacentral:rRNA from 1 species
UGGGAUACCACUUGGAAACAGGUGCUAAUACCGGAUAACAACAAUAGCUGCAUGGCUAUUGCUUAAAAGGCGGCGAAAGCUGUCGCUAAAGGAUGGACCCGCGGUGCAUUAGCUAGUUGGUAAGGUAAUGGCUUACCAAGGCGACGAUGCAUAGCCGAGUUGAGAGACUGAUCGGCCACAUUGGGACUGAGACACGGCCCAAACUCCUACGGGAGGCAGCAGUAGGGGAUCUUCCACAAUGGGCGAAAGCCUGAUGGAGCAACGCCGCGUGAGUGAAGAAGGUUUUCGGAUCGUAAAGCUCUGUUGUUGGUGAAGAAGGAUAGAGGUAGUAACUGGCCCCUAUUUGACGGUAAUCAACCAGAAAGUCACGGCUAACUACGUGCCAGCAGCCGCGGUAGUACGUAGGUGGCAAGCGUUGUCCGGAUUUAUUGGGCGUAAAGCGAGCGCAGGCGGAAAGAUAAGUCUGAUGUGAAAGCCCCCGGCUUAACCGAGGAAUUGCAUCGGAAACUGUGUUUCUUGAGUGCAGAAGAGGAGAGUGGAACUCCAUGUGUAGCGGUGGAAUGCGUAGAUAUAUGGAAGAACACCAGUGGCGAAGGCGGCUCUCUGGUCUGUAACUGACGCUGAGGCUCGAAAGCAUGGGUAGCGAACAGGAUUAGAUACCCUGGUAGUCCAUGCCGUAAACGAUGAG